CAGUCGCCGCGGGAAUACGUAGGGUGCAAGCGUUAAUCGGAAUUACUGGGCGUAAAGCGUGCGCAGGCGGUUCUAUAAGUCAGAUGUGAAAUCCCCGGGCUCAACCUGGGAACUGCAUUUGAGACUGUAUGGCUAGAGUGUGUCAGAGGGGGGUAGAACUCCACGUGUAGCAGUGAAAUGCGUAGAUAUGUGGAGGAAUACCGAUGGCGAAGGCAGCCCCCUGGGAUAACACUGACGCUCAUGCACGAAAGCGUGGGGAGCAAACAGGAUUAGAUACCCCCGUAGUCCCUGUCUCUUAUAC
rnacentral:rRNA from 1 species